rnacentral:lncRNA from 1 species
UAGGAUUCAAAUUUGGUUCUCAUAUUUCAAAUUUGAUAUUGAAUACAUAAAAGAUAAAACUAACUUUCUUCCUGAUUAUCUUAGUAGGGAUGGAGCUAGAACAAUUAAGGACGAAAGUCCAAAUACUUGAGAUAAAAGUUUCCUAUUUGGAAACACAAAUUCAAAAUAUCCAAAAUAGCUUUCGAGGCAAAAAUAUAACCCUUGAGGCAGAAGUUACUUGUACCAAAUCUAGUAUCCCUUCGCAGGGACUUGUGAAUACUAGCGCUCUCCCCGAGGAUAAAGGGAAAGAAAAGAAGGUAAUAGGAACCCCUUCACAUGGAAAACUUGAACUUAUUACUGGUAAUAAAGAUAUUCAAAAUAUCAAAAGAGAAGGUAGCUCUUCAUAGAGCCAAACUCAAUCUAAUAUUUCUAUUGAAAUGAUAGAUCAAAAAGAUAUUGUCAAGAUAUGCCAUGAAGCAAAAAUUCCCAGAAAAGAUAACCACGAAGAAGUAACACUCUUUAUUGUUAUUUUUAAUAUUUUAUCAGAUUGGUAUCUGAAAAUUGGAAAGUGGAUGAAGACUCUCUACUAUUCAAAAUACAACAAGAUAAAUUUUUAUCCAGGAGCACCAGUCAACUGUGUUCGAAAUUGUUUUGAAAUAGGAAAUAUACUUUGUAUAUAUCCUAGCAAAGAUCUCAAAAAGAUAGCUCAGCUUCCAGCCAACAUUAGGAAAGCUGUUAAAAGAUAUAUUGAAAUCGUCAAGACAACAAAUAUAUAUCAGAUUCCAUUCAGCAACCAUGGAAUGGGAUCCUAUUCUUGAAUAUAUGCAUUCAUCUUUCCAUGUGAUAAAAAUGGGACUUACAAAUCAACAUUUUUUACCAACCAAUCAAAAGGUUGUUAAAAAUGGAUAUCAAGAUAUUCUAAAUAUGAUGUCCUACAAAAAAGCAAAAGGGUACAAAGAGAUAUUUGAACAUGUAACUCAGAUAAUCACCGAGAAAGAAAAAAUAUGGGUUUAUCCAUCUGAAAAUCAUGUUAUCUAUUCCAAUGCAAGGAUGGCUACCAAGGAAGAAGAUAUUUGUUAUCUCGACCAUUUAUUAUUUGCAAUUAUUUCCAAGCAAGUGCAUGGAUCAGAAGAUAUGGCUAAAGAACUAUGCAAAUUGCUCUGGAAUUACAGUGAUCACCAUUGUGAAUACUGUGUAGUUGAAGAUAUGAGCCAAGCAUCUCUUAAUUGUGAAGAAUUCCCUGCAGAAUUCUUUGAUUCGAAAAUGGAAAAGUGAUGGUGACAAAAGUAACCCUUUAUCACUACUUUAAUAAAGAAAUUUAUUAAAGAAAAACUGUGGCUACUAAAAGA